AACGAACGCUGGCGGCAGGCCUAACACAUGCAAGUCGAGCGAGGACUUCGGUUCUAGCGGCGGACGGGUGAGUAACGCGUGGGAAUGUGCCCUUAUCUACGGAAUAGCCCUGGGAAAGUGGGAGUAAUACCGGAUACGCCCUUUGGGGGAAAGAUUUAUCGGAGAAGGAUGCGCCCGCGUUGGAUUAGGUAGUUGGUAGGGUAAUGGCCUACCAAGCCGACGAUCCAUAGCUGGUCUGAGAGGAUGAUCAGCCACACUGGGACUGAGACACGGCCCAGACUCCUACGGGAGGCAGCAGUGGGGAAUCUUAGACAAUGGGCGCAACCCUGAUCUAGCCAUGCCGCGUGAGUGAUGAAGGCCUUAGGGUUGUAAAGCUCUUUCAGCUGGGAAGAUAAUGACGGUACCAGCAGAAUAAGCCCCGGCUAACUCCGUG
rnacentral:rRNA from 1 species